UUUGACUCUCUUUCCAGUUGUGCAUACAUAUAUACACACAAUGUUUUGCAAUAUAAAAUUUAUAUAAUUCUAAUCAUCAUAUUAUGCAUGAGAAUAAAGAUAAUGAAUAAAGAUAAUGUGUCGUCCUUUUCAUUAUCGGUUAAUGGUGCAAUGAUAGUAAGUACUUCUCUGAGACUGGUACCACAUCGUUGUGCGACGCAAAUGUUGAGUCAUCACGUCUGGAAAUAUCAUAAUUACAUCGUUCAAGUAUAUACAUAUAUUUUCUUCUUGAAUGUAUAUGGUCUACCAGAAUUGCAUCCGAAGAUUGUGACUCGAAAUUUUAAUUAAGCUAUUAAAUUAUCCUGACUCAACGGAGUGAAUAUUUUAUUAAUGAUUAAUUAGAAUUAUAUCAUACAAGAUUAAUAUAUUCUUUUUAAAAUUUUAUUAUAAAAAUAAAUUAUUA